rnacentral:rRNA from 1 species
AUUGAACGCUGGCGGCAUGCCUUACACAUGCAAGUCGAACGGUAACAGGUUAAGCUGACGAGUGGCGCACGGGCGAGUAAUGUAUCGGAACGUGCCCAGUCGUGGGGGAUAACUGCUCGAAAGAGCAGCUAAUACCGCAUACGACCUGAGGGUGAAAGCGGGGGAUCGCAAGACCUCGCGCGAUUGGAGCGGCCGAUAUCAGAUUAGGUAGUUGGUGAGGUAAAGGCUCACCAAGCCGACGAUCUGUAGCUGGUCUGAGAGGACGACCAGCCACACUGGGGCUGAGACACGGCCCAGACUCCUACGGGAGGCAGCAGUGGGGAAUUUUGGACAAUGGGCGCAAGCCUGAUCCAGCCAUGCCGCGUGCGGGAAGAAGGCCUUCGGGUUGUAAACCGCUUUUGUCAGGGAAGAAAAGGUUCUGGCUAAUACCUGGGACUCAUGACGGUACCUGAAGAAUAAGCACCGGCUAACUACGU